rnacentral:piRNA from 1 species
UAUCAAGGGUGUACUGCUACUGUGAUA